UACGAAGGGUGCAAGCGUUACUCGGAAUUACUGGGCGUAAAGCGUGCGUAGGUGGUUUGUUAAGUCCGUUGUGAAAGCCCUGGGCUCAACCUGGGAAUGGCAGUGGAUACUGGCAAGCUAGAGUGCGGUAGAGGGUAGUGGAAUUCCCGGUGUAGCAGUGAAAUGCGUAGAGAUCGGGAGGAACACCAGUGGCGAAGGCGGCUACCUGGACCAGCACUGACACUGAGGCACGAAAGCGUGGGGAGCAAACAG
rnacentral:rRNA from 1 species